UCCUACGGGAGGCAGCAGUGGGGAAUCUUGCACAAUGGAGGAAACUCUGAUGCAGCGAUGCCGCGUGAGUGAAGAAGGCCCUUGGGUUGUAAAGCUCUUUUGUCGGGAAAGAUAAUGACUGUACCCGAAGAAUAAGGUCCGGCUAACUUCGUGCCAGCAGCCGCGGUAAUACGAAGGGACCUAGCGUAAUUCGGAAUUACUGGGCGUAAAGCGCGCGUAGGCGGUUAAGUAAGUUAAUUGUGAAAGCCCAAAGCUCAACUUUGGAAUUGCAAUUAAAACUACUUAGCUAGAGUUUAUCAGAGGAAAGCGGAAUACAUAGUGUAGAGGUGAAAUUCGUAGAUAUUAUGUAGAACACCAGUUGCGAAGGCGGCUUUCUGGGAUAACACUGACGCUGAGGUGCGAAAGUAUGGGUAGCGAAGAGGAUUAGAUACCCUCGUAGUCCAUACCGUAAACGAUGAUUGUUAGAUGUUGGAAAUUUAUUUUCAGUAUCACAGCUAACGCGUUAAACAAUCCGCCUGGGGGAGUACGACCGCAAGGUUAAAACUCAAAUGAAUUGGAC
rnacentral:rRNA from 1 species